AUGCUUAAAAUUGAUCUUGCGAAGGCUUUUGAUCAUUUAGAAUGGAGCUUCACAGUUUUAGCUCUUGCUCAUAAAUGACUGCAUGAUCUUUUCAUAAAUUUGAUCUAUGACUGCAUUUCCUCGUCCACUUUCUCUGUGGUAAUUAAUGGUCAACCUUCUCAAAAAUUUGAAAGUGCUAGGGGUAUUCAUCAAGGUUCUCCUAUGUCCCCUUAUUUGUUUAUUUUGGCCAUUAAUGAAUUGUUUGGUGCCCUUAAUGAUGCUCUUUCCUUUAAUCAUUUGUAGGGUAUUUCUCUUGGACCAAAUUUCCCUCCUAUUCAUUCUCUCUUGUUUGCAGAUGAUUUGUUAUUUUGUGGGCGAGAUUUGGUUCAUGAGGCAAAUGUUAUGGCCCAAAUUUUCCAUCAGUUCUACUCUAUUUCAGGACAAACUCCUAACUGGGCAAAAUCAGCAAUUAUUUUCAGCUCUCAUGUUAGUCAGGUUGUAGCUCAAGAUAUUAAGCAAAUUUUUCUUGUUUCUAACAUGGAUGCUCAUUUUUCUCAUCUAGGUCACCCUCUUAUUCUUCCUGAUAAGAAUAGAUUUGCUGCCUAUAAUUUUGGUGUAGAUAAAUUUCUGAACAAGCUGCCAACUUACAAGGCUAACAUGCUUUCUCAUGCAGCUAGACUUGAGUUGAAAAUCCAUUUCUCUACUAUUCCUGUUUACUAUAUGGCUAACAUUUUGUUCUCUAAGAAUUUUAAGCCAAACUCACUGUUAUUAUUAGGAACUUUUGGUCGACAUGUAUUAGAGAAAAUGAUUCCAACAGGGGUUUGUGUCUUCGGGCUUGGAAGGAUAUUUGCAAUUCAAAGCAAGAAGGUGGGCUUGGUAUUAGGAAUUUGCAAGAGGUUAAUGAAGGGCUGA
rnacentral:rRNA from 1 species